CGGAGGCAGCAGUAGGGAAUUUUGCGCAAUGGACGAAAGUCUGACGCAGCAACGCCGCGUGAGGGAUGAAGGCCUUCGUGUUGUAAACCUCUGUUGAGUGGGAAAAAAAUGCCAGCAAUGGUACUGAUGGUACCACUUGAGGAAGCACCGGCUAACUACGUGCCAGCAGCCGCGGUAAUACGUAGGGUGCUAGCGUUGUUCGGAAUCACUGGGCGUAAAGGGAGUGUAGGCGGGAUCGUAAGUUAGGAGUUUAAUGCAUGGGCUUAACCCAUGAUCUGCUUUUAAUACUGCGGUUCUUGAGUAUGGGAGAGGGCGAUGGAAUUCCAGGUGUAGCGGUGGAAUGCGUAGAUAUCUGGAAGAACACCAGUAGCGAAGGCGGUCGCCUGGCCCAAUACUGACGCUGAUGCUCGAAAGCUAGGGGAGCAAACAGGAUUAGAUACCCGUGUAGUCCG
rnacentral:rRNA from 1 species